GCUACAGUCUCAGAUCAACUCAGACCUCCAGGACUGUCAGCAGCAGAAACAGAAACUUUAUACUGUUGGGGAAAAUAUACAACAUUUGCUUUACAUUGUUUCAUUGGCUGUCUGCUUGACCUCAUAUUCAUCUUUGUCUCAGAGACAUUAUGUCCUGAUGUCUGUUCUAAUGACCAAGAGUUGCUCAACGUUCCUCCUACAUCUGUUGUCUGCACAACCUUUUCUUUGAGAAGUUAAAGCUGUUCCACAAUCUAUUUCCAAAUAAGGUAUUGAUCAUCUCUGCUCUCCUGUUAGUUCCCUUUCCGAGAGUCAGAACUAAACAUGGUGAAGCAGCUUUUAAUUUUUAUGCUCAAACUUCCUGCUCACUGCAAGACUACUCCUACCUUGAGUUUAUUUAAAACAAGAUUAAAAACCUUCUUAUUUGACAUUGCCUAUUCUUAAAUGUUUGUUUUUAACUAUAUUCAAAACUGUAAUGUUUAUUUUGUUCAUUUUUAAUCUGCUUGAUCAUUAGCAAAAAUAAAUUCGUCUAAUUCUUUAUAGGCUCCAACAUCAGUGAUGUUUAAUUAUAGUUACACCUUUUACACCAUUUCAAGUUCAAUGUCAAAAUCACAUUUAUAACUUCUUUGGCUUCUUUGAUUUAGUAUUCAUUUAUAAUUUUAUGAUAACCAUAACUUAUUAGUUACUCUUAAUGUGAGUUAUUACAAGAAAAGAAACCAUGUAUAAUCCAUGAUUCUAAUUAUUUGAUACAAAGUUACAGUUACUUGUUUUACUUGUAAGAGAACCCACCAAUUGUUAGGAUUCAAGUUGGUGUGAGUGCUCCCCUGACAGACGAUCUUCGUGGGAUAGUUUCCGGCAGGCUGGCGCACCUGCAGCGGAUUCCCGCAAUCGGCUGCAGGAUUCUUAAGAAGCGGUGGAGCAGCUAUUCAUCGCUCGAUGGUCCCACUUGUUGAUCUCGAUCAGUUGUCUGGAUCAAGCCAGGAACCACGCCCAUCACAGCGCGCAGCAGCGACUGCUCUUUGUCACCAGGACUCUACCGCCUGCCGAUCGUGCCCCUGUCACUCUCUCAGAACCUCUGUGCCUCUUGGAUCCUUUCCCCUUCCUCAGCAACCCUGCAUCAGACGAACUAACCUGACCCGCCCAACCGCUGCCGAUUCGAGAGUCAAUCUGGAUUGAGUUUCAUUCAGCAUUUAUUGUAAAUGAAUAAUUUGAAUCAAGACUUUCCGGCCUUUGUGGUAGAACCUGCAUAUGGGUGAAAAACCUCAAAUCCAACAUGACACCAAUACUCACCGAUCGUCACGGUUUCCUCCUGUGGCGUCGGAGUGAUGAGGUUUCUGUGAGGAACCGUCUCUAUCGUCAUGGAAACAAAGUUUGGAUCUGAAACAGCAACAAUAACAGGACUGAUUAGGAAAACUGCAACAGAUCCGGAUCAGAACCUGCAGCUUGGACCUGCUCUCACCAACAACAAGCAGAAGUUCUGUGUCUAUCCCGAGGCGUGGAUGAAACAUCGGAACCUGCCGUGGUCCUGCAGGCUGGAUCGCCUUGAUGGUCAGAGACACGCUCUCGCCUCAGGCCGCCCUGGGACAGAGACGCCCUACGUGUCCAUCAUCAUGUCUCGGUCCGUCUUCCUGAAGCGGUACACGAACACGUACUCCACACGCUUCUGAGGGCCGGACGGCUUCAGGUCCGGUCGGGACCACACCACCGUCUUCCCCACGACGUCCCACUCAGGAUCCACCUGACACGGGAGGACGACGUCAUCUCCAGGAGCAGCUACGAUUGGCUGAGACGAACCAAUCAGAUGGAGGCUACCUGGAAGCACAGGGAGGAUUUUAUUAUAACAUCAAUACAAUACAUAAUUCUAGGGUGAUGUCACACUUCCAGGAACUUUGUCACCGACAGCCAUCUUGAUUGGCGAUCUCUGUGGUCCCAGCAAGACGAAGAGUAUGAAGAGUCUUUUUUAGCAAACCAAGAAAAUGAAAGGAGAAGACAGUUUUACAAGGCCUGGGAGGAAAGACACAUAAAAAAGGAGAAUGCAGUCCCAUUACCCUUGGAAUGAUACUGGAGUUUGCUUCCGGAGCAUCCAUGGUACCUCCACUGGGCUUUCCCCAUCGUCCACAAAUUGAAUUCCUCCAUGAGGCUAACAGAUUCUUCCCAGAAGCAAAUACUUGCCUGAUAGUACUCUGCCUUCCUGUACACCCAGACUAUGAGUCUUUCACAAAGUACAUGACAGACGGGGUGCUGCAGGGACCUACCUUUGGUGUUGCAUAAUCAGCUAAUAAUUGUAGUAAGCAUUUCUUUUAAAAAAGAGUUGGAAUGUUUUGAAAAGUUAAGUGUUUUAAAGCAAGUUAUAGUAAAGGUAAUGUAAUGGCCGAACUUGGAAAAUAUUUGAAUGUAAAUACAAUAUUUGCUUCUCUUUUUUUGCAAAGAAUAGAUGUCUUUUUAACCACUUUUUGCUUUCACAAUUUAAAGGUGGAUGUUUGAGCCACACUGCAAAAACAAAAGGUCUACUCUGGUAAUGAACACUGCUCAUUUGGAUUAACAACAAAAUCCAAUUCUAAAGAAGCUCAAAGGGUCCAAAAGAUGCAUUUGACCUGGGGGUUGGGAGAUACUAGUUAUUUGUACAUGAACAUUUUCAAAAGUAGUUUUUAUUUUUCUGUCCCUCUCCAGAAUGUGUAAUUAAUUUGUCAUGCUUUUAAACACCUUAACAUUUAUAAUUAAAUCUGAAAGGUUACCUACUCAUGUCAAUUCUGAGUUUUAUUUGUAGUAAUUGUAGCUUUAGAACAAUGCAUUUGAUCAAGUGUUCUGUGACAUGUACUUGAAUCAAUAAAGCAUUUGCAGUUUCUACACAACAGCCCUGGUAUUUCUCCUUCAGAUCUGAAAUAUGAUUGACUGCAAGAUUAAAUGACUGAGGUUGGUGCUGACUGAGCCUGGUCCGAGGUGGUUCUACAACUACACUAGGAACCUCUUCAGCAUCAGCGGUUGGUAGUGGCCAAAGGCCAUGCUGUUGCAGAGUCUCUGGUGCCCUGGGAUUUUCACCAAACACGUUGUUAGUUGCUGUGCUGUUUGCCAACAUCUGUUCAGUGCAGAUUUGUGUUGGUGUUUUAUUGUUUUCUGUACGCAAGGAUUGAUGGUUCCAUGACUUUCUGAAUUGUUCCAGUCGGCUUUGAAUCUCAGGAAGAAAAACCAUGUGAAGAGAAAGUUUGUUUGCUGGGAUCCAAGACAUAAUGUUUGCUUUAUACAUCUGUUUUUAUCUGUUUGUCUAUAUCUGGAGGAGAAGCAGCAUUUAGCAUCUAUGCACCAAAAAUCUGGAACAAACUUCCAAAAAACUGUAAAACAGCU